rnacentral:rRNA from 1 species
AACGAACGCUGGCGGCAGGCUUAACACAUGCAAGUCGAACGCCCCGCAAGGGGAGUGGCAGACGGGUGAGUAACGCGUGGGAACGUACCCUUUACUACGGAAUAACUCAGGGAAACUUGUGCUAAUACCGUAUGUGCCCUUCGGGGGAAAGAUUUAUCGGUAAAGGAUCGGCCCGCGUUGGAUUAGCUAGUUGGUGGGGUAAAGGCCUACCAAGGCGACGAUCCAUAGCUGGUCUGAGAGGAUGAUCAGCCACACUGGGACUGAGACACGGCCCAG